GCGGGGGGCAGGGGCCCUGGGACUUAUCCUCGGCUCCAGUGGGUGGGGCGGUGAGUUGGGACCCCAGCGUCAAGAGCAUGCCCCGGUGAGCGCGCUGGGGGCGCCUGCCGGUUUGGGGGUGUCUCCUCCCGGGGCGCCAUGGCGGCGCUGGCCAGUAGCCUGAUCCGGCAGAAGCGGGAGGUCCGCGAGCCCGGGGGCAGCCGGCCGGUGUCGGCGCAGCGGCGCGUGUGUCCCCGCGGCACCAAGUCCCUUUGCCAGAAGCAGCUCGUCAUCCUUCUGUCCAAGGUGCGACUGUGCGGGGGGCGGCCCGCGCGGCCGGACCGCGGCCCUGAGCCUCAGCUCAAAGGCAUCGUCACCAAAUUGUUCUGCCGCCAGGGUUUCUACCUCCAGGCGAAUCCUGACGGGACCAUCCAGGGCACCCCAGAGGACACCAGCUCUUUCACCCACUUCAACCUGAUCCCCGUGGGGCUCCGUGUGGUCACCAUCCAGAGUGCCAAGCUGGGUCACUACAUGGCCAUGAACGCCGAGGGGCUGCUCUACAGCUCGCUCUUGCUGAUGUGCUGUUACUGCCCACCGCAGAACACCUCCGCUAGGGUCCCUCCCAUCCCUGCUGCCUGCGUAGCCCCCCAAGAACCACCAGGCUCUUUGGCCAACUCUUCCGGCCUCUUGGAACUCCUGCACAUCCUACUCCCUCCAGAUUUCAUGGUUACUGAACUUCGCCAGACUCAGCCCGGAGAGGGGCUGGCAAGAGAGGCUGGAAGGAGAGUAGAGAGCAGCCGCAUUUCACAGCUGAGUGUCGCUUUAAGGAAUGCGUCUUCGAGAAUUACUACGUCCUGUACGCCUCUGCUCUCUAUCGCCAGCGCCGCUCUGGCCGGGCCUGGUACCUGGGCCUGGACAAGGAGGGCCGAGUCAUGAAGGGAAAUCGAGUCAAGAAGACCAAGGCAGCGGCCCACUUUGUGCCCAAGCUCCUGGAAGUGGCCAUGUACCGGGAGCCUUCUCUCCACAGUGUCCCUGAGACCUCCCCUUCCAGUCCCCCUGCCCCCUGAAAUGUAGUCCGUGGACUGGAGGCUCCUGGCACUUGCACGGAGCCAGCCACAGCCACAGCCUGUCUCCCAGCCCUGCUCCCGGCCCCGCCCCCACCCGUGCCGCCACACUCAUGCCCUGAGCAGCCAGGUCCCACCCGGUGCUCGAUCCUGAGGGAGCCAAGGGGCUGGUUGUGACUCCCCAGGCUUCCCUGCUCCUCGGGCCUGGGAGUAUAGAGAGGGGGAGGCUGACAGUGGUCCUGGCUGAUCCCUUCUUUCCUUCCACACUCACAGCCCCGCAAAGCCUUUUCCCAAGAAGGCGCCCGGGUUCCCAAAAUGACAGAACCAGGACAUAAAUAUUCCCCACCCCGGGGCUCAGCCAGUUCCUGGAGCCCUAUGCCCUUUUCAUUGCCACUGAACCAUAGAUUUAUAGGUCUACUGGAGCUCAGGAUCAGUUUCCUUUUUUCCCUCCUCCACCUUCUGCCUUGUUCUGGACAGGUUCUGGAACACCAGGCACCCUAGCCAGGGCCCUUUUUGCACUCAGGCUCUGGGCUGGAAUGCUGGCAUGCUGCCAGGCUCUGUUCUGGAUCCAUCAGGCUUCUGUCCUUGACCCAGAUGGACCCCCUGGUUUCCAGGUAGAGAGGGGCUGGGUAUGAGUCCUGUCCAGCUGCUGGCCUUGGCCUGAACUAGGACCGGUCCCAGAACACCACAGUUUUAACUUUCUUAUCCCAAAGACACCCACUGCUAGAGCAUGGUGUUCUAGACACAUAUAUAUGGAGCCAUACUUCCUCCUGAAUCUCGGCUCUAGGACGUAGACCAGGACUCAGCCCUUUCCUCCAGGAUGGAAACGAGGCCUGAAUAGCCAUAUUAAUGCUCAUAUAGAGGAAGCUCUAGACCCAUCCUCCUACCUUCUCUAGUAAUGCGUUUCUUGGUGAAUCAAGAAACACUUCUUGUUUUUCCUAGGUUUUCUAAAAAUCUGAUUCUUCCUAUAGAAUGCUAACCUUAUUUAUACAUGCAGUUUCUAGCUCCUGCAACUCAGCUGGGGUCCCGCCGGGGAAACAGAGUCUGAGGAAGGGCAGAGGAGUUUGGGCAGGAAUCCUUGGCUCACAGUAGGGAGGUUGGGAUGGGCAGGGGGCCACAACCAUGGCAUGUUUUGGCUGUGCUUGGGUUGGGGGGGGACAUGAACACUUAGCUACCUCAGCAGGAAUUCCUCCCAGGUCCCCUUUAAAGCUGAGGUCUUUAGGGUAAUGAGUCUAGAAUAAAAAGGAUAAGAGGAGGGACACAACCUUGAUCCCCCAGUGCAGAGACCCCAGUUCAGCAAUAAGUUCCACCCCACUCCCCUACAAAUCAGGCCAAGGAGGGCGAGGGCCUCUCGGGGCUCUAGACCUCAUAUACCCCCAGAGCUUCUGACUGACUAGAACUUGCUUAACUUACAGCUUAUAACCUCAGCUAAGUUUUAGGUACCCAAAAAGGGCCUGACUAGAUUUUCCCAAAAAAAGCGUGGAGAGCUUGGGGCAGGCCUGGAAAAGACCAGGAAGCCACCAGUGACUAGGAGGGACACUCUGAGUAGCCUCAGACCUGGGCAGGGUAGAGGAGAGGGCCCUAAAGGGAGGGGCUGGGGCUCAGAGGCUGGUCACUUUUCCUCAGGCUCUAUUUCUGGCUUGUUGCAAGAGGGGCGCAUAUUCCCCUCACCCACACAGACCCCGCUCAGGCUCCACCCGUCUCCUGGCUCUGCUCCCAGGGGACAGGGUCUCCACUCCAUGCUUUCUCAAUUAAAGACGAUUUGUACAACGA